rnacentral:tRNA from 2 species
GCCCUGGUGGUGGAAUUGGUAGACACGCAGGACUUAAAAUCCUGUGGUCAGCAACGGCCGUGCGGGUUCAAGUCCCGCCUGGGGCACAA